rnacentral:rRNA from 1 species
ACGCUGGCGGCAGGCUUAACACAUGCAAGUCGAACGGUAACAGGGAUUAGCUUGCUAAUCUGCUGACGAGUGGCGGACGGGUGAGUAAUGCUUGGGAAUCUGGCUUAUGGAGGGGGAUAACUACGGGGAACUGUAGCUAAUACCGCGUAAAAUCUUCGGAUUAAAGGGUGGGACUUUCGAGCCACCUGCCAUAAGAUGAGCCCAAGUGGGAUUAGGUAGUUGGUUAGGUAAAGGCUGACCAAGCCGACGAUCUCUAGCUGGUCUGAGAGGAUGACCAGCCACACUGGAACUGAGACACGGUCCAGACUCCUACGGGAGGCAGCAGUGGGGAAUAUUGCACAAUGGGGGGAACCCUGAUGCAGCCAUGCCGCGUGAAUGAAGAAGGCCUUCGGGUUGUAAAGUUCUUUCGGUGACGAGGAAGGUUGAUAGGUUAAUAGCCUAUCAAAUUGACGUUAAUCACAGAAGAAGCACCGGCUAACUCCGUGCCAGCAGCCGCGGUAAUACGGGGGGUGCGAGCGUUAAUCGGAAUAACUGGGCGUAAAGGGCACGCAGGCGGUGACUUAAGUGAGAUGUGAAAGCCCCGAGCUUAACUUGGGAAUUGCAUUUCAUACUGGGUCGCUAGAGUACUUUAGGGAGGGGUAGAAUUCCACGUGUAGCGGUGAAAUGCGUAGAGAUGUGGAGGAAUACCGAAGGCGAAGGCAGCCCCUUGGGAAUGUACUGACGCUCAUGUGCGAAAGCGUGGGGAGCAAACAGGAUUAGAUACCCUGGUAGUCCACGCUGUAAACGAUGUCGAUUUGGGGAUUGGGCUUUGAGCUUGGUGCCCGUAGCUAACGUGAUAAAUCGACCGCCUGGGGAGUACGGCCGCAAGGUUAAAACUCAAAUGAAUUGACGGGGGCCCGCACAAGCGG